rnacentral:lncRNA from 1 species
CACACACAUUAAUCCUGAAACACACACACACACUCAUAAUCACACACACAUUAAUCCUGAAACACACACACACACUCAUAAUCACACACACAUUUACCCUGAAACACACACACACACACACACACACACACUCACAUUAACCCUGAAACACACACACACACACACACACUCUUGCUCACCUUCUUGUCCUUCUCGGAGCCGUCGGUCAGCAGCACUCCUUUGGCCUGCAUGUGUCGGUACAGGACCCUCUGCAGCGCAGACAUGUCACACUUGAUCACGUACUCCACCUGCACACAGACACAAAACAGCACAAUGCUUCAUCUGUCCGAGGCGACGACAGACAGACUGCAUCAGAAUCACCUUCUCAGGCAGCUGCGCCUCCACUUCCUUCUUCAGCCGGCGCAACAGGAAGGGGCGGAGCACCUUGUGCAGGCGGCGGAUGAUCAGGAUGGUCUCCUCCUCGUUCAGAUCCACCUGAGAGACACAUCAGUCACGUCUACUACUGCUCUUCAUUUCCCAGCAUGUCUUGACGAGCAGAAUCACACAUUAAAGGCUCAGGAUGGAAUCAGACUAGUUAGUUUAUUUCAUCACAAUGAUGUGAACAUAGAGAGACAGAUAUACAUCAUCCCACCAUCACUGCAGUCACAUCCAUCCAUCCAUCCAUCAGGCCAUCCAUCCAUCCAUCCAUCCAUCAGGCCAUUCAUUUACAAACAUGUGUACUGUCGGGGGUGGUGAUGCUGGAGCUGCAGGCAGGGAAACUGCAGGUUAAAACUAUCCAUCUUGUGUUGUUUUCAGCCCAGCUGAUGGGUAAAUAUAGGGCUGAACUAACCUAACCCAUGGAGUUAUGCUGCUCAUCACAGAGUCAGACGGAUGAUGACUGCUCAAACUUGAAUAAGACAAGAAAACUGUACUCGUUUUACUCAAUGUUGUUCAUUUUUUCUUUCAGGAUUUUCUUUGUAUGCAGCUAAACUGAAAACCUGUUGCUGAUAAAAAUGUACAAUUACAAUUAAACUGAACCAGAGAAAGAGAGACAGAGUGUGUUUGUCAUCAACACAUGCUGUGAACGGCCUGAGAGACACAAAGAGCUUUAUACGCUGUGAAGAACAAUAUUCACACUGGCAUCAAUCAGAAUCUGGCUGUCGAUGUAGAGAUCCUUCAUGAGAGGACUGGAUCCGCUGAACGGCACAAACACUGCACUGAAGAACUGAAACACAUGCAGAAAAUGACAAACACGCCGUAACAAAACAAGCAUAUGAUACUGAAGCACAUUAUCAAUAUCAUUAUCAAUUUACUGCAAUGGACAUAAUAAAGAGACACUCUUGAAUUUCUUCUCCCAAAAAACUCACAAUCUUGUGAAGCUGAAGAAUUUAGUGUUUUGAAGGUCAUUGUGUCAUGAAGUGUUUUUGUGUGAUGAUAGUUUGUCAUGUUAUGGUAGAAUAAGAUGAUUUUGAGACACGUACGAAUGGUUGCAGUGUGAUUUAGGACAGG